AUUUAUCUAAUAUAAAAAGUAUAUUUGACUUCCAAUCAAAAAGUUUGAAAUACAAGAUAAAUA
rnacentral:tRNA from 1 species